ensembl:piRNA 21ur-1744 ncRNA
UUGUAGUGAGUACUAUUGAAG